GAUGAACGCUGGCGGCGUGCCUAAUACAUGCAAGUCGAGCGAACGGACGAGAAGCUUGCUUCUCUGAUGUUAGCGGCGGACGGGUGAGUAACACGCGGAUAACCUACCUAUAAGACUGGGAUAACUUCGGGAAACCGGAGCUAAUACCGGAUAAUAUUUUGAACCGCAUGGUUCAAAAGUGAAAGACGGUCUUGCUGUCACUUAUAGAUGGAUCCGCGCUGCAUUAGCUAGUUGGUAAGGUAACGGCUUACCAAGGCAACGAUGCAUAGCCGACCUGAGAGGGUGAUCGGCCACACUGGAACUGAGACACGGUCCAGACUCCUACGGGAGGCAGCAGUAGGGAAUCUUCCGCAAUGGGCGAAAGCCUGACGGAGCAACGCCGCGUGAGUGAUGAAGGUCUUCGGAUCGUAAAACUCUGUUAUUAGGGAAGAACAUAUGUGUAAGUAACUGUGCACAUCUUGACGGUACCUAAUCAGAAAGCCACGGCUAACUACGUGCCAGCAGCCGCGGUAAUACGUAGGUGGCAAGCGUUAUCCGGAAUUAUUGGGCGUAGAGCGCGCGUAGGCGGUUUUUUAAGUCUGAUGUGAAAGCCCACGGCUCAACCGUGGAGGGUCAUUGGAAACUGGAAAACUUGAGUGCAGAAGAGGAAAGUGGAAUUCCAUGUGUAGCGGUGAAAUGCGCAGAGAUAUGGAGGAACACCAGUGGCGAAGGCGACUUUCUGGUCUGUAACUGACGCGGAUGUGCGAAAGCGUGGGGAUCAAACAGGAUUAGAUACCCUGGUAGUCCACGCCGUAAACGAUGAGUGCUAAGUGUUAGGGGGUUUCCGCCCCUUAGUGCUGCAGCUAACGCAUUAAGCACUCCGCCUGGGGAGUACGACCGCAAGGUUGAAACUCAAAGGAAUUGACGGGGACCCGCACAAGCGGUGGAGCAUGUGGUUUAAUUCGAAGCAACGCGAAGAACCUUACCAAAUCUUGACAUCCUUUGACAACUCUAGAGAUAGAGCCUUCCCCUUCGGGGGGCAAAGUGACAGGUGGUGCAUGGUUGUCGUCAGCUCGUGUCGUGAGAUGUUGGGUUAAGUCCCGCAACGAGCGCAACCCUUAAGCUUAGUUGCCAUCAUUAAGUUGGGCACUCUAAGUUGACUGCCGGUGACAAACCGGAGGAAGGUGGGGAUGACGUCAAAUCAUCAUGCCCCUUAUGAUUUGGGCUACACACGUGCUACAAUGGACAAUACAAAGGGCAGCGAAACCGCGAGGUCAAGCAAAUCCCAUAAAGUUGUUCUCAGUUCGGAUUGUAGUCUGCAACUCGACUACAUGAAGCUGGAAUCGCUAGUAAUCGUAGAUCAGCAUGCUACGGUGAAUACGUUCCCGGGUCU
rnacentral:rRNA from 1 species